UGAGGAAUAUUGGUCAAUGGGCGCUAGCCUGAACCAGCCAAGUAGCGUGAAGGAUGACUGCCCUAUGGGUUGUAAACUUCUUUUAUAUGGGAAUAAAGUGCAGUAUGUAUACUGCUUUGCAUGUACCUUAUGAAUAAGGAGUCCGG
rnacentral:rRNA from 1 species